AUGUUGGAAAAAAAUUCUACCUGCAUAAUUGAUAAACUAGAAUUAGAAGAAAAGAUUAGAAAUAUAGAGAAUUACAUCUCCAGAAAACCAGAGGAAGAGAGUUUAGGUUUACUGCUUUACCUAAGGAGAGCCAAAGCUGCCAUUGCUCAAUCAGUGAAAGAGGUAGGAAGUAUCAGUCAGGAAACAGAAAGCAAGGAGCAGAGAGCUUCUAAACAAGACUCUGAGCUUUCUGUCUUUUGCUGUGUGGCAUUUGGGUAUUCUGGCCCUCUGGAACAUCCUGAGGGUUAUCCUGAUCAGAAAUUCCAAGUUCAGCCUAAGAGAGGAGACAUGUAUAAGAAGAGAGUGAUGGGAGAACACCAUCCCCCUCUUUCCCUUCGGCGCGCCACUGAAGAUCCUGGUUACUGGUAUUGUAAGAACAAGCCAUACCCAAAGUCUCGCUUCUGCCGAGGUGUCCCUGAUGUCAAGAUUCGCAUCUUUGACCUAGGGCGGAAGAAGGCAAAAGUGGAUGAGUUUCUUGCUCUGUGGCCACAUGGUUUCAGAUGAAUAUGGCAGCUGUCCUGUGAAGGCCUGGAGGCUGCCCGAAUUUGUGCCAAUAAGCACAUGGUAAAAAGUUGCGGCAAGGAUGGCUUCCAUAAUCCGGGUGCGGCUCCACCCCUUCCACGUCAUCCGCAUCAACAAGAUGUUGUCCUGUGCUGGGGCUGACAGGCUCCAAACAGGCAUGCGAGGUGCUUUUGGAAAGCCCCAGGGCGCUGUGGCCAGGGUUGCAUUGGUCAAGUUAUCAUGUCCAUCCGCACCAAGCUACAGAACAAGGAGCAUGUGAUUGAGGCCCUGCGCAGGGCCAAGUUCAAGUUUCCUGGCCGCCAGAAGAUCCACAUCUCAAAGAAGUGGGGUUUCACCAAGUUCAAUGCUGAUGAAUUUGAAGACAUGGUGGCUGAAAAGCGGCUCAUCCCGGAUGGCUGUGGGGUCAAGUACAUCCCCAGUCGUGGUCCUCUGGACAAAUGGCGGGCCCUGCACUCAUGAGGGCCUCCAAUAUGCUGCCCCCCUCUUAAUACUCACCAAUAAAUUCUACUUCCUGUACACCUAAAAAAAAAAAAAAAAAAAA